rnacentral:rRNA from 1 species
UACGUAGGGGGCUAGCGUUGUCCGGAAUGACUGGGCGUAAAGAGCGUGUAGGCGGCUCUUUAAGUCCUGCGUGAAAUCCUGCGGCUCAACCGCAGACGGUCGUGGGAAACUGGAUGGCUAGAGUGCGGGAGAGGAGAGUGGAAUUCCCGGUGUAGCGGUGAAAUGCGCAGAUAUCGGGAAGAACACCCGUGGCGAAGGCGGCUCUCUGGAACGCAACUGACGCUGAGACGCGAAAGCGUGGGGAGCAAACAGG